rnacentral:rRNA from 1 species
AGGAAUCUGCCUUAGAGAGGGGGAUAACCCGAGGAAACUCGGGCUAAUACCGCAUAAAGUCGCAAGACCAAAUGCUGGGGUUAAACCUGGCGCUCUAAGAGGAGCCUGCGUCCGAUUAGCUAGUUGGUGGGGUAAAAGCCUACCAAGGCGAUGAUCGGUAGCUGGUCUGAGAGGAUGAUCAGCCACACUGGGACUGAGACACGGCCCAGACUCCUACGGGAGGCAGCAGUGGGGAAUAUUGGACAAUGGGGGCAACCCUGAUCCAGCAAUGCCGCGUGUGUGAAGAAGGCCUUCGGGUUGUAAAGCACUUUAGGCUGGGAAGAAGGUAAGUCGUUUAAGAGAUGACUUAUUUGACUGUACCGGCAGAAUAAGCACCGGCUAACUCUGUGCCAGCAGCCGCGGUAAUACAGAGGGUGCGAGCGUUAAUCGGAAUUACUGGGCGUAAAGGGCGCGUAGGUGGUUUGUUAAGAUUGUUGUGAAAUCCCUGGGCUUAACCUAGGAACUGCAACGAUGACUGAUAAGCUUGAGUAUUGUAGAGGGUAGUGGAAUUUCCGGU